AGUUCGUUCAUUCCACUGAAAAGAUAUUUUUUAUUCCUCCGUUCGCUCGCAAGCUGCUCAACACUGGUUUUUAAUAUUCUUUCGCGUUCGCUAUAUGUCGCUCACUUUAUGACAGAAGUAAAAGUCAAAGGUACACACAAGUCAUUUGGACUGCGGCUAAGCCAACAGUGCAAUAACUUUUAAUUUACACGACGUAACUUGGGGGAACCAACCUGCAGUUCCUGCACCCCGGCUAAAACCCCCUUGGCCAUGGCGCCAAACCUUUUUCUCAUGCUGGUAGCUAAUGCAUUUUGUAUUGGCCAAGUCAAAGUGCUGUGUGCACAGGGAGUGAGUUUGGGUUUUGAAAUUGACUGUCUUACUUUUGACUUUGAGAUACGCCAAAAGGGAAAAUGUAAACGGCUCCGGCGACGGGAGUAGUUGCCACGCCCCCUCUCCACACACAUUUGAUGUUUGAGUUGCAUUCAGCGCUGGUGACUUUCUCGUAUCCGCAGUUGGCGUUGCACUUGGCAGCGAGUAAGUGUGUUUGAAAAAAAACCAUCAUCAUCAUCAUCGUGAGCAUCCAGCAUCAAAGUUUGCUGUUAAUUUAGGCUUGGGCGGCAAGUGUAUAAAAAUUAUGCAUAGUUUGCAUUUGUGGCUGAAAAGAAUGCUAAAUUGCUUCUUAAGAUCAGUGCCAAAGCGAACUAGAAUUACUGCUGCCCAAAAGGCAAUGGAAACGACAAAUUUAUGUUUGUUUUUUGUUCGGACAAUGCGAAUGAAAGGAUACAACAAGGUCCAAGCCCAAGCCAAUGCCAAAGCCGAAGUCGCACGCCAAAGUAUUCACAUACUUAAUACAGAUUACAGUUGAGUGCAUUUUCAAAAGUCAGCACUCGACACAAUAUAAAUUCAAAAGCCAAAAGAUGUCUGGCUCUGUGCUGUUGCUGCUACUGCUGCUGCCCCGGACGUAAUUUCAAUAAGCAAACGACACAGCUGGGGGUCGAGUUGGGUCAGUUGGCCACACACAAAUGGAAACGUCAUGGUCCGGGCACAAAAUGCCAACUUUGCAAUUUGCAAUUUAACUUGAGAGAACCACAGAAGUGAAGUAAACAGACAGUGCCAGAAUAGGCCCAAGCCCAAGCCGAUGCUUUUGCCAAGUGUAAACAAAUCUUCUGAUUCUUGCAAAAGCCAAAGCUAAAGUGUUGAUUUCCAGCUCUCCCUAUAUGCUUAAGUCACAGCAAAUAGACCUACAACAUACUCCCCUCAUCUCGGCCUCUCUUUCACCACCACAGAAAUAAAGAAA